ensembl:lncRNA
UGUCAUAGGUUAGUAUGUCGUCCCAAAAUGGACAACAACGUCAUAGGUUAGUAUGUCGUCCCAAAAUGGACAAAAACGUCACGUAUGUCGUCUGAAAAUGGACAAAAACGUCACAGGUUAGUAUGUCGUCCGAAAUUGGACAAAAAUGUCAUAGGUUACUAUGUCGUCCGAAAAUGGACAAAAAGGUCAUAGGUUAGUAUGUCGUCCGAAAAUGGACGAAAACGUAGUAGUUUAGUAUGUCGUCCCAAAAUGGACAAAAACGCUAUAGGUUAGUAUGUCCUCCGAAAAUGGACAAAAACGCCAUAGUUUAGUAUGUCUUCCCAAAAUGGACAAAAACGUCAUGUAUGUAGUCCGAAAAUGGACAAAAACGUCAUAGGUUAGUAUGUCGUCCCAAAAUGGACAAAAAUGUCAUAGUUUAGUAUGUCGUCCGAAAAUGGACAAAAACGUCAUAGUUUAGUAUAUUGUCCCAAAAUGGACAAAAACGCCAUAGUUUAGUAUGUCGUCCGAAAAUGGACAAAAACGUCAUAGUUUAGUAUGUCGUCCCAAAAUGGACAAAAACGUCAUAUAUGUCGUCCAAAAAUGGACAAAAACGCCAUAGGUUAGUCUGUCGUCCCAAAAUGGACAAAAACGUCAUAGUUUAGUAUGUCGUCCCAAAAUGGACAAAAACGUCAUAGGUUAGUAUGUCGUCCGAAAAUGGACAAAAACGUCAUGAAUGUCCGAAAAUGGACAAAAACGUAAUAGGUUAGUAUGUCGUCCCAAAAUGGACAAAAAUGUCAUAGUAUGUUGUCCCAAAAUGGACAAAAAUGUCAUAGUUCAGUAUGUCGUCUGAAAAUGGACAAAAACGUCAUGUAUGUCCUCCGAAAAUGGACAAGAACGUCAUAGUUUAGUAUGUCGUCCCAAAAUGGACAAAAACGUCAUAGUUUAGUAUGACGUCCAUAAUGUGACAAAAACGUCAUAGUUUAGUAUGUCGUCAAAAAUCUGAUAAAAACGUAAGUUAGUACGUCGUCAAAAACGGCGUCUUAACGUCAUAGUUUAGUAUGUCGUCAAAAAUGUCACAAAAAUGUCAUAGUUUAGUAUGCCGUCAAAAAAUUUUACGAAAACGUCAUAGUUUACUAUGUCGUCAAAAAUCUAUAUCAUGCAUAAAACACUGAAGAAAUUAGUGCUUACCAAGUGUGAUUCUUCAGUUGGACUUCAAACUCUACUCCCGAGGACUCGACUUGACACAAGAAACCAAAAACAUUUUAGUGUUAGAUUCUGACCUGGUAAACCAUAAAGAAUAAGUACAUUUAAGACACGACUCAUGCAUGUAAUUAUUAGGGAUAUUUUGAAAAAUAUCAGUAGAUUUGAACAGAAACAGUCACGUCAUGCUGUUUUUGUCUCCACUUGCAUUUUGCUCAUGAAAUACAAUUUGCAAGUUGAAUUUGAAUCAAAUUUGCAUAAAACAAUCAUUUGACUGUUUUGGUGAGGUAGAAAGCCAUAUUUGUUCUUCUUCACUGAAUGGAAACCCUAAGCUAAGAGAUCUUUGCUGCUGUGGAGAGAAAAAAAAACUGAACAAGGCAACAGAUAAGUGAGUUUUGUCUUAUAAUUGGUGACCAGACAAUUGUGAGUUCAGACAUUUUGUUAAUUAAAGGUUGUUUGUAGCCUGUUAAGCUAACACGUGUUUUCUAUCAGUACAUUAAAAGUCUUUCAGAGUCCCUGAUCAUGUUAUGUUGACGAAACUGGAUAUGGAGUUUCUCAAGGCUCCUCAAGGAAAACAAAUUCAUAAUGAGUG